ACUUGAGAGAGAGAGAGAGAGAGAGAGAGAGAGAGAGAGAGAGAGGGUGAAAAGGACAAAGUAAAUUAAAGUAGCAGAGACCCCUCCCAUGACCCUACCAACUGGGUCUUGGGUUUACAGAAAUGACCACGACCCAAAACCCCCUUCACUCUCUUCUCUCUCUAUCUCUUUCUCUCACUCACUUGUCCCAUCGUCUC
rnacentral:miRNA from 1 species